UGUUACCCAUGCAGGCCAAAGAUAGAUGCAUUGCUUCCACGUGAAAAGGCUGGUCUGAAGCACUCGGACUUUAAAAUCCAUCAAUCGACUAUAACUUAGGGGUUCUCUGAACUGUGCACAGCAAUCGGCACAAAAUCCUACCCACUUCAAGGACUUCAAACUACAGGAAUUUUUAGGCCUCCCACCGCAGAUACACACCGCAACGACACUGUGUGACUGGUAUAGAAGAACGACAUACAGAAGACAUACAAAAAAUGAGAGCUAUAUUGUGCGUAUGCGCCUUGGCGCUCUUCUGUGAGGCAGCCAUUGGUUUGCCCAACGUCAAUGCAAGAGACGAGAUUGACGACGUCCUGGACCGUACCCCCAGCUGCAUAGCGGUCUGCUAUCCAUGUUUGAAAUACAUCCAAAACUUGAACACUUAUAACUGUAUGAAUGGUUGUUAUGGUGGUCCGAUGAAUGGCGGCACCUACUUUAAUUUGUUUGUUUAUUGCGUCAUCCUUGUUGGCUCAUAAAGAUUUCCCACUGGUGAUUCUAACAUAUACACAUCUUAGAGACAGGACAUAGUACCCCCUUACAUUAUUUAUGACAAAAGACCACCCCAACCUUAAAUUUAGCCUGAGUACGCGAUCGCCAGUGCUAACAAAUAUGGUACAAUCUGAUUUUGUGUGUGUGGAGUCUCUCGACUUGUAUACCCUAUAUACAAGCUACAUAAUUUAACGGCUACUUUGAUGUGCUGACCAUAACCCACAUGUGGGGUGAUUUUCUUUCAGGGACAUCACCGGUUACCCCGCAUGUGAAAUCUAUAGAAAAACAUCACCCCAAAUGUGCAAUCUUUAGAAAAAGGGAUAAAAGGAACAUCACCCCACAUGUCUCAUCUUUCUUGUCGUCCGUACAGAAUUGAAGAUCGACAGCCUAUUAAAAGAGAAACAAAUAUUUUUACCUCCGCAAAUGACUGUCUGAACACUUUAUGUAGGAUUUUUCAACGUCUGUACUGGUUGGGUAUCAAAGCUGGAAUAUCGUGAUACGGAUUACGUCUUUGCAACCUUAAAAGUCUUAAAACAUGCUUGACAAAAUGGGAAAUAUGUUUGCCUAUUAAUGAAAAGGAAUGCCCGAUCAACCUCUUACUUCUGGUUAAGACGAAAUUGAAUUAACAACGCGAUACUUUUAAUUUGAAUGCAUCUUUUACAGAGUCGAGUGAAGCUAAAAGGCGAUAAAUUGCUCAGAUAGUGAAAUUGAAUGAUUAUUUUUGAUUGUCGAAUGACGACCUGCGUGUUAAAUUGAAUGAAAACUUCGUGAAGUUUGGCGGGAAAACCUAUGUUAACACUGCUUUAACGUUAAGGUGAAAUGAACACUACAGAUUGGAGUGAAAAUCGUCGCAGAGCUGACAUACCACGACGGAUAAGCGAAAACCUAUUUCAAGUAAUUCGCAUUUGAAGUUGGACAUUUUUUUCG